rnacentral:lncRNA from 1 species
AGUCGGCGCCUGGACCAGGGACCUGAAGAAUCACAGAAAAACGCUGGAGGAAUGCUGCUUGGUGUGGAGCUCCACGGGAAGAAAAGAAUCAGAGAAAAGAAUCGUAUCGGGGCAUGGUAAACAACAGAUGAGAAGGAAAACCUGUGAAGAAUCCUCGUUUGCCCUCUUCUGACUUAGGCUCUGGCAAAACCUCUCAGGAGACAGCUAUAUCAGGCUCCUAUCUGCAACCACUUCUUGGCAUCCAUAAUAGUGUCUGAGUUUGGUGUCUAUAUAUGGGAUGGAUCUCCAGGUACUAAAGGCAUAACAAGACUGAGAAAAUGACUUGCCAUGUCUUCUGUAAAGCUGAGAUCUUGGUGGUAGGCAGAUGAUCAAGAAUCAACAGUGAAAAAAAAUCAGUGAAUGUAAAAUCAAUCAAUUGCUCUGAAUAAAAAAAUAUUUCUAGACAUCACACAGUGUAGGUGGGCAGAAGACACUCAGAGGCAGAUGGAAGACCCUGGAGGCCAGCCCACUACCAUGCUACCAUUGUUUGGAAUCACCUAGAGACCUGCCAGAUGUGUGGGCCACUCACAGCAGGAGCCACAAAGAUGUGUGAGUCUGUAGUGGAGAAAUGAGAGAGAAAGAGUAACAGAAUGAUUUGAACACUAUGAAGAAAGGCAGAACUGGAGAAUCAAAGAUGGAGAGGAACAGCUUGAUGUGAAUAGCCUUCCCUGCCUCCUGAGGCAAUGAUGGAGUACUAUCCUGUGUUGACAUUGAGCAUCAUGUCUGGGUCUGUGGCCAUGCAGCAGCAGGGGUAUGUGUUGAUGUCUGUGGUUCAUAUUACCAUUAAAGGCCACGUAGACAUCCUUGAUCUAGGCUAUUGCUUAAGACCAUGUUUGUGUCCAAGGGCUGUGCAGAACUGGGCAACUCUCACUGUCUCUGUAUAGGUAACCUCACCCCCGACUGAUUCAGCACUCAGAGAGUGGACCUUUCAUCUCACCUAGGCAUCACAGAAUAUCUGACCUUGGUAGCUGUAGCACUGGAGAGAGAAAGAUGCCCCCUUCCAUCUGCAGGAGUCAAGUGAGCUGGUCUCUGGGUCACAAAAGCUGGCCCUGAGUUUUGCUGGGGGCAGCACUCAGAAAGUGAACCCUGUGACUUGCCUGGGUAGCAAAGUAGAGUUGGUCCUGGUGGUGUGGGUGCUGGUGAGCCAGCCCUAAGGACAAGACAGUGGCCUUUCCCCUUGAUGGCUGUGGCACUGGGUAAGCUAACUAGAGUAGUUCUAGAGAGCUCACAAUGGUGGUGUGUGGACAGGAGAGCUGGCAGGCUGACCAACUCAGCUGCCACAUAGACCCAGAUUGACUUUGAAUUGACCCACCCCAACAUCUACCUCAUAUAUGAAGUGCUGAGCCAGCAAAGGAGCUGGUCCUUCAAGUCCAAAGCUGCAAGGUCUCCAUGACACAGAGCAGCAACAAGAUAACCAAGAGGAUUGAUUCCCCUUGAUGAUCUAGUGUUAAUAGUGUAGCAGAAGCCAGAGGUUUUGAACCAGACUAAUGACUCAUUUCAAGGAGCAUUUGCAAGUAAAGAUAUGUGGACAACAGUGUGUACUGUGGAACACACUAUGACACUGUGACAGACGACAGCUUCUGUGAUAAGAUUGUGUUUUCUUUCGUUUUGUAUUUUUAACUUAAUUUAAUUUUUUCUUUUUAUUUUCUUUUGGAGAGAAGGUUACAAGGGUGGUGGGCAGAUAGGAAGGGGCAAGGAUAUGAGUGGGUUUGGGGUACAUGUUGUGAAAUUUGCAAAAAGUAAAUAAAAGGUUUAAAAAAACUUUUUAAUUAGGGAAGCAAAUGGACUGACCUAAAUUUGGAUAUCUGCUGUGCAUGAAGUUACAAAAAUUUGAGUAUAUCUUUGUACAUAUUUAGGUAUGCAUCUUUCUGGAAAAUUUUAAAUAAAACACUCAAUGUUUCUUGACAAAAAAUUAAAAACUCUGGAUUUGGCUCACCACUAACCAGUUUGUAUAACACUGGGAGAAUUGUGUAAUAUAGAAAGUAUCACAUAAUUUGUACAUGGCAAAGUCUAUACAGAUAUUAUGGUAAGUUGAAAUAAAAAUGAGUAUAUUAGUAAA